AGCACCAGCAUUCCUACCAAAACAACCUGUUUGCGCACAAUCUGUUAUGAUUUCUAAAGCAGGUGGGAAAUUCGGUGGAACACAGCGAAACGAUUUACCAAAAGACCCUUAAAAGGUCUUGUAUCUCGUGAGAGAACUUCACUGGAAAGUGAGUGUGGUCGUUGUUAUCAGAAAUUUACACGUCAAUUACGGAUGCAAAUCUUAGGAUUGUCGUGAUGGGAAUGGCAACGGAUGUUUCGUUUGACUUUACUCCGCGAGAGUGAAGGUCUGUUGAGUGCAAUGGUAGGAGAACGUCUUAUGGCGUUCAACCCGAUACCGAUUAUUGCUGAUGUU
rnacentral:RNase_P_RNA from 2 species